AACGAACGCUGGCGGCAUGCCUAACACAUGCAAGUCGAACGAGACCUUCGGGUCUAGUGGCGCACGGGUGCGUAACGCGUGGGAACCUGCCUUUAGGUUCGGAAUAACUCAGAGAAAUUUGAGCUAAUACCGGAUGAUGUCUUCGGACCAAAGAUUUAUCGCCUUUAGAUGGGCCCGCGUUGGAUUAGCUAGUUGGUGGGGUAAAGGCCUACCAAGGCGACGAUCCAUAGCUGGUCUGAGAGGAUGAUCAGCCACACUGGGACUGAGACACGGCCCAGACUCCUACGGGAGGCAGCAGUGGGGAAUAUUGGACAAUGGGCGAAAGCCUGAUCCAGCAAUGCCGCGUGAGUGAUGAAGGCCGUAGGGUUGUAAAGCUCUUUUACCCGAGAUGAUAAUGACAGUAUCGGGAGAAUAAGCGCCGGCUAACUCCGUG
rnacentral:rRNA from 1 species